rnacentral:rRNA from 1 species
GGGCCCGCACAAGUGGUGGAGCAUGUGGUUUAAUUCGAUGAUACGCGAGGAACCUUACCAGGGCUUAAAUGUAGUAUGACCGGCUUGGAAACAGGCCUUCUCUUCGGAGCAGAUUACAAGGUGCUGCAUGGUUGUCGUCAGCUCGUGCCGUGAGGUGUUAGGUUAAGUCCUGCAACGAGCGCAACCCCUAUUCUUAGUUGCCAGCGGUUCGGCCGGGGACUCUAAGAAGACUGCCAGCGCAAGCUGAGAGGAAGGUGGGGAUGACGUCAAAUCAUCACGGCCCUUACGUCCUGGGCUACACACGUGCUACAAUGGUAGAGACAAAAAGUAACAAAAAAGUUUUAGUUA